UACGAAGGGGGCUAGCGUUGCUCGGAAUCACUGGGCGUAAAGGGUGCGUAGGCGGGUCUUUAAGUCAGGGGUGAAAUCCUGGAGCUCAACUCCAGAACUGCCUUCGAUACUGAGGAUCUUGAGUCCGGGAGAGGUGAGUGGAACUGCGAGUGUAGAGGUGAAAUUCGUAGAUAUUCGCAAGAACACCAGUGGCGAAGGCGGCUCACUGGCCCGGUACUGACGCUGAGGUGCGAAAGCGUGGGGAGCAAACAGG
rnacentral:rRNA from 1 species